GACCUGAGCCGAAGUCGGAUGCUCAACCGACUGAGCCACCCAGGUGCCCCAUACAUUCCUUUUUAAUUUUUGCACUUACUCUUUGAGAUCUGGGUAUAUCUUACACUUUCGGCAUAUCUCAGUUGGGGCUCGCUACAGGUCAAGAGCUCCAUAGCUGCAUGUGGCUAGUGUUUGCCAAAUUCCAUGUGCAGUUGUGGGAUGUCUGAUGGGGUGGAGAAUGAUCUCAGACAGUGGGUGAGCAGACUCCGUGCUCUGGUGAUGAAGUGGUUGAGGCAGGGUCUCCCAAGUGGGCAAGAGGGUCAUUCAAGAUUCUGUCUGCACUUGUGCUGGGUCUGAUGAGAAAGGAUGGGAAGGAGACUGGGCAGAGCGGUAAUGGGUGAUGGAGAGCUGAAAAUGAGACCUGCAUGGGCUGUGACUCUGCCAUCACGUUGCCAUUGGAAACUGAUCUAAAUCAGCCGGGAAGAGAGGAAACUGAGAGAAUGUCUGAACCAAGGGAAGUCAAAAUACAUUCAGCACCACUUUUCUGAAGUAAUAACUAUGGAAUUUAAGUAUUCAUUAAAAUGAGCUCAAUGUGCCCCCAUAGGGACUGUUACCGGUUGUUGCACAAACCAGCGUGCUUGUCUGAAAUAAUAUGUAUCAGGCAGGGUGCUUAUCAUCACACGCAGGGUAAGCAUUGCCGUUGUUCUGGUUUUGCUGAUGGGGGGAGUGAGACUUAAGUAAAAGGAACAAAACAAUCAACUUCUUGCUGUAGAAAAUUAUCGCCGAGGGAACCCUGGAAACCACUGGGUACAGAAGUCUGCCUUCAGGGAGAGGAAAUCUGCUGGGGGCAGUGGGGCUCAAGUUGCUUAGAGGUGCAUGGGUAACCAGGGAGAGGUCCUCCAGUCUAGGUCCGCACAUCUGCCGGGAUAUCAACCUGUGAUUGCAGGAGCCCCAGGAUGGAUCCCCUGUCUCUCCAAAGAAUCUGCUGCAAAGCAGAAAUAAUGAUGAGGUUUUGUGUUUUGUGUUUUGUUUAUUUGUUUUAAGAGAUGUCAAGCCUUUAACUGUAUGGAGAGUGAAAGGCCUUCUUGCAGUGGUGAGUUGGCUGUGAGUGAUGUCAUGAGGAUCUGUCCCGUGUAAGCCUCAGGAUGUCUUCGAUGGAAGAACGGGAGGGAUGAUUGUUGCCUUAAUGAUUACAGCAGUGGCUGCCAAUUCACUAAUGGUUGGAACAUGUAAUUAGAACUUGAGAACUUAACUCUAGUCAUGACUAUGCCAAUUACCAUGGCUUUGAGCACGCUCUUCACCCUCUUGGGAGGGAGGUACCAUAUUUUGUGAUUAGGAGCUUGAGAUGUGGAGUCAGACUGCCUGGGUUCAAAUCCUAGCUCCACAACUUAUGAGCUAAAUGUUUUUGGGGGUUGGAUUGGAUGAUGGAUAAAAUCAUCAACUAAUUUGUUACACUGUACACCUUGGGGCCUGCGACAGUGCCUGGCACACAACAGCUACUCAACAUAUGCUUGUUGACUGAAUGGCUGAGGUUUUGCAUUUCACCGGAUGGGAAUUUUAUGAGAACCUGUUUUGGGACAUCUAUCAUGCAGACAUGUUACCUCAUGAAAUUAAAAAUCUCCAGAGUGUUAAGAUGAAUAAAUUAAGAACAUGAACGAUUUAUGGAGAACUAACUCUUGCAGUCAGAGUCCAAUCAGGGAAACGAAUGAGCUCACACCGUAGUUCAAUAGAGGCCACUGAACACAAGGAACAAAGGCGCGAGCAGAACUGGAAAGCCAUCGGGAUAGUGAGGCAGCUUGGAGAGCGGCCAGGAGGAGGAGAUGAUGCUACUGGAGCUUGAUGCUGAGGCAGCCCCCAAGCAGGAACUGAGAGCUGGGGUUGUGGAGGAACAGGUUGUCUAGUGGAACAAGCCAAUGCUUGUUCAGGUUGAAUGGAGAAUUCCCCAUUCUCAAUGCCUCCCAUUGGCUGGAUCCAUCCAGAAGCCAGCUGGCAGAGAAAGUUGGGAACUGAAUUUUGUAGAGGUGCUCGUGAGGCCUGUGAACGGAUGCGAAGGGAAGCAGGCCAGGUCCAGCACCCUAACCAGACUGUGGCCAGGCUGGCCCUCAGGUCAAAUCUACCAGCUGCCCGGUUUUGUAAAUAAAGUUUUAUUGGAACAAAGCCACACCCACUCAUUUACACAUUGCCUAUGGCUGUUUUGAUGCUACGUCUGCAGAGGUGAGUCCUUGUGAAAAAGACCAUAUGACCUUUUACAAAAAGUUGCUUAUCCUGGUGCUAGACUGUGUCUAACCCGUACAACCACUGGCCUGGUAAGUAUUUCUACCCUUCUUUUGCAAAUGGGGAAACAGGCUUGUGAAACAGACCUGACUUGCCUGAGGCUGAGUGCACCAGGCCUGAAUGAAACUUGCAUUUGACCUCCAUCUAGUUGUUACCAAAUUCCAAUACCUUCACUGCACCCCCAGGUCCCUCAGGCCCCACUGGGCCACCUCAGCUCCUGGUCUUCUGCUGAAACAAAAUGGCACCUUGGGUUGGUAUCUCUCCAUGGCACGUCUCUGCCUGUUGUUGCCUCACCAACAAGUUCAUGGUAGCUGAGGGGUCAGGGAUCGUCUGAGCUGGAAUGGACCAGGACUUCACAGGAGAGAAUUCAAAUGUCUGGGGCUUGAAGCUCUCUGUUUGUCUGAUUGUCCUUUCCAGGGAGGCAGCUGGCCCUUAAGAAGCUCUUCCCCCUGCCUCAUAGUCUGCACAGUCAUCACAACUAAGCAAGAAGACCAGAAGAUUUGGGAGAACAUCUCUGACAUAAAGGAAAUCAAUGUUAAAAUGAUAUUUGCUUUAUAAAAUGUACAGUAUAGCCAACUCCUUUUAGGAAUGCUUCUCCUGUGAAGCUAAGUAUACCUGUCUGAUGAAAAAACAAAAAUCUCAAAACGAAAUAUGAUUGCCAACUUUCUCCACAUCGCUGGGGGAUUCCUCUUAAGUAAUAGCAUUUAUGAGUCUAGCUGGGUGGCCUUGGUGCACAUGACAACAGCAGGACAAAAUCUCCCGAAACACGGGACAAUUUAUGUUUGCGGAGAAUUCCAAGUGAUUGUGAGGUAGCCGCUGCUUGCAUUUGCUUUGCUUGCACAGAUGAUGAGAAAUUGCAUCUCUGGGAAGAACUUAAAGGGGCGAACUGAAUGCAUGUGAGAUUAAAGAAAUCAAGAUUUGCAUGUGAUGACACACAAAAAGGGCAGAGCCGUGGCCGUGGCAUUAUUUGGCUUAGCAUUUAGCCAACACGGAUAUUUUUAUAAUGUAUUAAGCGCGCUUUCCUGCCUCCAUGAAAAUGAUACUCCUGACAACUCCUCAUAUGGCCACUGACACCAGUUGUGCUUUUAAAGCCAUGACGAAGCUCAGGUGACCACCUGAACCCUUCACUCUCUCCUCUGACUAUCAGACGUUUGGAAUGACUUAGCCUGUUUCCUCGAGCUGGCACAGGGCUGCGGCCAGAGGAGGCAUUGAGCUGCCUCCAUCAUCCCUGGUGCAGGCAGCAGGCAGCAGGCACUUGCUUCUGAGUGGCUCUGGGGCUCAAGAAUCUAUUUCCAUCUUGGGGAUCCUGGGUAAAUUUGUAACCCCUUGGAUCCAGAAGUUCACUACCAUUUAAUGGGAGGCAAUAUGAUUGCGUGAGGAAAGCUGGGGCUCCAGAGGUGAAAACACCCAGAUUUAAAUCCUCUAUUUAUUAGCUCAUCCUCUCAUGAAUCUGAUCCUCUCUCUAAGCCUGAGAGGCAGCUGAAGAUGUCUCUGUGGUAGGCUGUAUAGCGGUCCCCAAAGAUACCCAGGUCCUAAUCCUUGGAAUCCUGGGAUGUUACCUUAUAUGGAAAGAGGAUCUAUGCAGAUAUGAUGAAGUUAAGGAUCUAGAGAUGGGGAGAUUAUCCUGGAUUAUCUGGGUGGGCCCUAAAUGCCAUCACAAGUGUCCUUAUAAGAAGCAGGCAGAGGGAUUUCUGAUGCACAAGAGGAAGAAGGCAGUGUCACAAGGAUGGAAGCCGAGGGAGAUUUGAAGAUGCUACACUACUGGCUGUGGAGAUAGAGGAAGGGACCACAAGCCAAGGACGGCAAGGAGUCUCGGCAGCCUCUAGAAGUUAGAGAAGACAGAGAAGCCGAUUUUCUCCUAGAGCCUCCGGAAGGAGCAUAGCCCUGCUGACACCAUUCUCUUCAGCCCAGUGAAACUGAUUUUGGACUUCUGGCCUCCAGAACUAUAAGACAAAAAAUGUGUGCUGUUUUAAGCUGCCAUGUUUGUGGUAUUUGUUACAGCAGCCACGGGAUGCUAAUAGAGCCUCCUGCCGUUGUUGUGGUAUGUAAGAGUCAUGCUCGAGAAAGAUACUAAAUCAAGUCAGGAAAUCAUGCCCAAAGCAAGGGGGAGGGAUCUGAGGUAAGUUAGGAGUAUCUGAGGUGACUCUGGGGACAAGUGCAGUAACUGUGAUAAACCCUUUUGCUCUUCAAGCUUAGACUACAAUAUAAGAAUCUAUCCCUGGCAGUGACACUUAGGUCUCUGGCAUGGAUCUGGCCCACUGUCCCCUAUGCCCUGGACCCUUGCUGUUCUUCUUUGGCCAUCCUGAUAUCCCAUCCUGCCUACCUGAUAAGCCAUGUCACUCACAUCAACCUGUAGCUCAGAUUCCGGGAUGGUGGUGAGGGCAUGGCUUCUGAAUCCCACGUCCCUGAUCACAAACUGACUACUCAGUCUGCCAUUUCCCUGCUGUGGAGUGUAGAUUAGAGUUUGUGGGUGGGAGAUGGCUGAAUAACUUUCAGUGGGGAGACCCACCAGGAGAAAUGAGAACCCAGGGGAAGGAAGAAGCUGUAAUGGAGGAAAAGGCUCCAUGGUCAACCCAUUUGACCUCAAGUUCGGGCUAUUGCCUUUGAGCUAAAGAGAGCUGCUGCUGUCCUCCUCACCCAAGGGCUUCAAAGCUGUUUCCACAGAACCCAAUGGAUCCUUGUUUGGGACAAUAGCUCCCCUGCAAGUUGGCAGGUGAGAGGCCUCAUGGUGAUUUAGAUUCCCAUAUGGGUGGUCUAGACAGAUGGCCAAUGCUAAGACUGACUCAGAGAGUUCUUGGGGGAAUUGGAGGAAGGUAACACACCCACACACACACACACACACACACCCCUCAGGACUGCUUACUGUAUGAACUUCAGUAUCCCUAGGAACAGAAUACUAGAGAAUCAUCAGUGUGGUUAAAAACAAUGGCCACCACCAAAGCAGCAAUAAUCAUAAGAAAAGGGUUCAUUUUUCUGCCUUCCAAGAAAUGUGGGAGUAAAGAACUUUCUGGUCAUCUGUGUGCAUGGGGAGAUAAGGAGCAGCCCUGGAGAGAAGGUAGCCCAAAGUCAG